rfam:Triticum aestivum genome assembly, contig: Triticum_aestivum_CS42_TGACv1_scaffold_375708_5AL
UUACUACUCCCUCCGUCCCAAAAUAAGUGUCUCAAGCUUAAUACAAGUUUGUACUAAAGUUAGUACAAAGUUGAGACACUUAUUUUGGGACGGAGGGAGUACAUA